ensembl:lncRNA
AUGCAAAGUAGGGAGGCCGGCGGGAAGGAUUCAGGGGUGGAAUUGCUGGAGUCACAGAUGGAGAGCAGGAGCCUUCUGGAAGGCUCACACGGAGGUGGAGCUGUGGGGAGGGGCUUGGACCAUUUCCUUGCAGGGCAAGUGAACAGAGGCAUAGGACACGCGGGAGCUAAAGUCAAAUUAAAAAGACCAGAAGUGGGGACACAGAGUGAAACUCGGCUCGCCGUCCCUAAGCCCCAGAGUGGUGUUCUUGAAGCACCCAGGGCUCGAUCUAAAAAUCAGACCGUGAACUCAGACUCCAGCAUUGCGAUGUGGGCUUCCCACUCGCACAGCACAUGGUCACUGAAACCAUCCCAAGGGAAUUUAAAGCAGCAGGACCCCGGCGUUACUGUUUGGUUGUUGCCUGGAGCCAGUGGAACAUCCGACCCACGCAUGGAGGCUGCUCAGCGCUUCUGCAUGAAUUAAAUGAGGUAGUACAAUGGGGCAUGUGGACUAGGAAGCCGUCACUGAGUUGGACGUUGGCCUUGCAAUGCAAACAACACCCCAUCCCACUCAGUACACGCCUGGGAAGGCGCUCAGCUCAUUGAAAGAGCCCAUCAG